GCCAAAACAGAGGGAGAGAUGAGAAGAAGUAAACGCGUGAGACAGCCAUCUAAGAAAAUGUUGUUGUAUUUUCAGGACACAGAUUCAGAUUCAAGUCUACAGCAGGGUAAAGGAAAACGUCCUGCCAGAAAGUUGAUACAUUAGCAACAACAACUAAGGGGACACUGGAACACCAUAGCACGUCUGACGAUGAACCUGUACUGGCUUUUGUUCCUUCAAGUUCUGAUGAGUCUGAAGGAGAACCACUCAGUGAGAGAGAGG